AUGCUGUCCUCCAAGUCUUCUUUACAUGUUGCUCUAAUCCUUGUGGUCACGCUGACAGAUGUGCUACCGCUGGUAUCUUCUUCACGUGGCCUCGUUGCGGUACCCACUGAUGGGGCACUGGAGGACUCUCUGCUGAUGAUGGAGAGGUUCCAUGGCUGGAUGGCAAAGCAUGGCAAGUCGUAUGCGGGAGUCGAGGAGAAACUGCGGCGGUUUGACAUAUUCCGCAGGAACGUAGAGUUCAUCGAGGCGGCGAACCGAGAUGGCAGGCUCUCGUACACCCUCGGGGUGAACCAGUUCGCCGACCUCACCCACGAGGAGUUCCUUGCCACGCACACCAGCCGCCGUGUGGUGCCGUCAGAGGAGAUGGUGAUUACAACUCGCGCUGGCGUUGUUGUCGAGGGUGCCAAUUGUCAGCCGGCGCCAAAUGCUGUGCCUCGUAGCAUCAAUUGGGUGAAUCAAAGCAAAGUCACCCCAGUCAAAAAUCAAGGAAAAGUAUGCGGGGCUUGCUGGGCUUUUUCUGCCGUGGCCACGAUCGAAAGCGCCUACGCGAUCGCCAAGCGAGGCGAGCCGCCGGUUCUGUCCGAGCAGGAGCUCAUCGACUGUGACACAUUCGACAGAGGCUGCACGAGCGGCGAGAUGUACAAUGCCUAUUUCUGGGUCUUGAGGAACGGCGGCAUCGCCAACAGCUCAACGUACCCCUACAAAGAGACUGACGGCAAGUGCGAGAGAGGGAAACUGCAGGAACACGCGGCCACGAUCAGGGACUACAAAUUCGUCAAACACAACUGCGAGGAGCAGCUCAUGGCAGCAGUGGCGGUGCGACCCGUCGCCGUCGGGUUCGACUCCAACGACGAAUGCUUCAAGUUCUACCAAGCUGGUUUGUACGACGGCAUGUGCAUCAAGCACGGGGAAUACUUUGGCCCGUGCUCGUCCAACGACCGCAUCCACUCCUUGGCCAUUGUCGGGUACGCCGGCAAGGGGGGCGACAGGGUCAAGUACUGGAUCGCCAAGAACUCGUGGGGCGAGAAGUGGGGAAAGAAGGGCUACGUCUGGCUGAAGAAGGAUGUUGAUGAGCCGGAAGGCCUCUGCGGCCUUGCAAUUCAGCCGGUAUAUCCUAUAGUCUGA
rnacentral:rRNA from 1 species